rnacentral:lncRNA from 1 species
UUUUUUUUUUUUUUUUUUUUUUUUUGAGCGGCGACGGCGUCUUGGACUAAUUCCCCACCCUGCGCCCCUGUCCCCUCCUCCAACGUCAGUAGCUGAGAGCCUUUGAUCCUUCUUAAGGGUUGCUUCUAGAGCAAUAGCCCACCCUGUUGGUGUGGUUUUCUGUCUCUGCGAGUCAUUUCAGCGCAUGGCCUCUGGUGCGAGGACUGAGGUUGGGGAAAUGAACUCGGGACCAGCAUCCCUCUUGAUGCGCGACCCUGGGGAAGUGGCACAUCCUCACUGUGCUGUCCCCAACCCUGAGUAGUAACUUUUGACACAAGUGGAAGUUGUGAGCAUCAAAUAGGUAAAGUACCUAGCGGGUGACGGAUACUGAAGUUCACUCUGUUCGCAAAUUAUGCCAAUAACUAAAAGAGAAACCCUGCCUAAGUCAUUAAUCAGCGCAGUAGAGGGGGAAGAAAAAUAUAUCUCCCCAUCCGGUUUUGCUUUCAAUGAGGCUUUUUACACCCAAUGUGGUCACCAAUGGGCUCAUUCUCUAGAGGCGAGAGGUGGUUUCAAGCUGUGGCUUGGUGAUUCGGAGGAAUGCAGCCUAGGCACGGGCCAUCCAUUACCAAAAGAUUCGUGGGGGUGGCAUAUGUGACGCAUUUGAGUAGGGGAAAAAAAAAUCAGGCUCUGGAGAAGGCAGAAUGCCCAGUCUCAAGUUACAUUUUUUUUUAACCCUGCAGAAAUCUGUUUUCUGAAGGGAUGAGGGGAAAUAAUAGCCCAGUGGACUGCAGCCCCUCAAAAUGUAAACCUAUCAGCGGCUCUAAGAGGUUGACUAAUUCUGCUUCCAUCUGGACUGCAGGCUAGUCCUCUGCGGGAUAAUUUGCUGACCAUAAGGGUGGAAUUAAUGGACUACCCGGUGCCAUCUUGGCAAGCAGAUUGCAGCAGAUGGUCAGAGGGGUGCCCUGCGAGGCAGCAGCCCCCCUAACAGAAGAGCCAAAGUCCUGAGGAAGGACUGAGUGUCAAAUGGUUAGCAGAUGUGCCGUCAGAAGUUAUUUCAAGACAUUUCCUGAGAAAAUGUUGGAGAUCGCCUGUGUUCACUUUUAUUGAGGCGUGCCAGACUUGCAGCAAAGCCCUAGCCUGGGUGCAUAAUUUUUUCAUUAGUACUACUGUUCAGAGAGUUUCAAGCGAAGCAAGGCAGACAGACUUUCUCUCAAGCUGGGUUUUCUUCUUUUUCCCUCAGAGUUUGCUUUUGACAAAUUGCCUUUACUUUCUUCUGAGCCAAAUGACACCAAAAGCCCAGGAAUAAGGCGCUGACUUUUCCCCAAGUCAUAGAGCCUGCAAUCUAGACAUGUGGUCUCCAGCUUAGGUCUUUGCCCUAGAGUGGAUGAAGGCUGCUCUCAGUCACUUGUAUUCUAAGUUCCCCUAUUUAUUUAUUUAUUUAUUUAUUUUAUUUAUUUAUUUUUUUUUUGGUAGCUCUAAUGCUCACCACUUUCCAAAGAGUGAAGAGGAUGGUAAACCAUUUCAGAUUUCAGUAUGCUGAAGCAACCCAAGGAGUUUUCUUUAAUUGUGGAAUACAUGCAAGACAGUUUGCCCUUCGGCCUUAUUGUGGUUAAAAGAACAAAGACCAAUAGAACAGGCCAAUAGAUGUGUUAUGACCGCAGCAAGCUAUUACUAAAUCAAGUGGCUUCUAAGCUGUCUGGUACUCCAGCUCCUAUUGGUAGAAGCGAUGUGGGGCUUAAAGGGGAAAGAGGAGACUCAUGCAAGAUACUUCCAAUCUGAGGCUCGGUGAGGAGGCUCCAAGAGGUGGCUUCAAAUACAAAAAUUAGUACUUGGGUUUUCCUGGGUGUCCCUGUGGAGAUCUUAAAAGCAUGAUGCAAUGUUUAAAUGAGAGGGGUAUUUUUAUGACCUAACCGAGUAAAUACUCAAUUUGGAAAUAUUCAAGGGAGGGUGGUUUGGUCCAGAAGAGCUGGGGGCAUCCAGAGUACAGUGAGUGAACUAAAUGGGACUCUUUUGAAGAGAGCCUUGUUCUGCACAGGAUGGGCCAGUAUUGUAAACACAAGUUUCUCAUGCCUAACUCCCUUUCCUAGCAACAGGAAGACGGAAAUGAGGCCAU